GACGAACGCUGGCGGCGUGCUUAACACAUGCAAGUCGAACGAUGAAGCCGGAGCUUGCUCCGGUGGAUUAGUGGCGAACGGGUGAGUAACACGUGAGCAAUCUGCCCUUGACUCUGGGAUAACUGCGGGAAACUGUAGCUAAUACCGGAUACGACACCUUGGGGCAUCCCAGGGUGUGGAAAGAAUUUCGGUCAAGGAUGGACUCGCGGCCUAUCAGCUAGUUGGUGAGGUAACGGCUCACCAAGGCGACGACGGGUAGCCGGCCUGGGAGGGUGACCGGCCACACCGGGACUGAGACACGGCCCAGACUCCUACGGGAGGCAGCAGUGGGGAAUAUUGCACAAUGGGCGCAAGCCUGAUGCAGCAACGCCGCGUGAGGGAUGACGGCCUUCGGGUUGUAAACCUCUUUUAGUAGGGAAGAAGCGAAAGUGACGGUACCUGCAGAAAAAGCACCGGCUAACUACGUGCCAGCCGCCGCCGUAA
rnacentral:rRNA from 1 species